rnacentral:misc_RNA from 1 species
CAACCCUCAAGCCCGGCUUGGUGAUGGGCCCCCGCCGUGUGGCGGGCCCGAAACUCGUAGGGCGCCGUGGCAGCGGGCUCUGAGCGUAGCAAGAGUGAAAACCUCCCUCGCUCCGGAGACCCCUCCACAGUCGCCUGGAGAACCCACGAAUCUUACAA